rnacentral:rRNA from 1 species
UGCAAGUCGAACGGUGAAGCCCUUCGGGGUGGAUCAGUGGCGAACGGGUGAGUAACACGUGGGCAAUCUGCCCUGCACUCUGGGACAAGCCCUGGAAACGGGGUCUAAUACCGGAUAUGACCUGGGAGUGCAUGCUCCUGGGUGUAAAGCUCCGGCGGUGCAGGAUGAGCCCGCGGCCUAUCAGCUUGUUGGUGGGGUAACGGCCCACCAAGGCGACGACGGGUAGCCGGCCUGAGAGGGCGACCGGCCACACUGGGACUGAGACACGGCCCAGACUCCUACGGGAGGCAGCAGUGGGGAAUAUUGCACAAUGGGCGAAAGCCUGAUGCAGCGACGCCGCGUGAGGGAUGACGGCCUUCGGGUUGUAAACCUCUUUCAGCAGGGAAGAAGCGCAAGUGACGGUACCUGCAGAAGAAGCACCGGCUAACUACGUGCCAGCAGCCGCGGUAAUACGUAGGGUGCGAGCGUUGUCCGGAAUUAUUGGGCGUAAAGAGCUCGUAGGCGGCCUGUCGCGUCGGAUGUGAAAGCCCGGGGCUUAACCCCGGGUCUGCAUUCGAUACGGGCAGGCUGGAGUGUGGUAGGGGAGAUCGGAAUUCCUGGUGUAGCGGUGAAAUGCGCAGAUAUCAGG